UGCGGAUUUUGGACAGUUUUGUUGCCACAUAAAAUGGGAGAACACUCUGCACAAUGAUGCCCUUGCUCUUGUAUUCUGCAUGGAGGCCUCGAGAGAAGUAAUCCACAAAAGCCUUGGUUGCAGAGUAAAGAGUCAGCAGUGGAGUUGGAUACAUCCCAGCAGCUGAUGAGAUGUUCAAGAUUACCCCUUUUGAUCUUUCCAGCAUGCCGGGCAGCACCAAUCGUGUCAUCUUACAAACAGACAUGAUAUUAAUGUUGAUCAUUUGGUCGAUCAUUUUAUCCAGGUCUGGAACAUCAAUAAAGUAUUCCGGAUAAGAAUAUGAAAUUCCCACGUUGUUUACCAAAACGCCGAUCUCCAGGCCUUCCAGUCCUGCUUUGAUUCUGUCGUAAAUGCCCUCUCUCUCUCCGAAGUCCGCCACAAUAACUUUUGUUUCCACUUUGUACUUCUCCUUUAUUUCACCAGCAACUUGGUCCAACUUUUCUUUUGAUCGGCUGAUUAGAGCCACUUUCAUUCCAUGUCUUGCCAACUCUUCUGCAUAGGCUUUUCCAAUCCCAUCAGUAGCUCCUGUGACCACUGCCCAUGCGCCCAGCUGGGGUCCCACGGCGCGGCCGCCGCCCAGCACCCAGACGCGCAGCCCGCUCAGCAGGCGGAAGGCGCACAGCACCGCCGUGUAGAGGACGCCCAACGCGCCCACCCAGUAGAACAGGCCGGCGGCCGGCAGCGCGGCGGGAGCCAACAUGCUGCCUGCGGAGGCGGCCGCGACGGGACUGAACCCUCCCGGCCACCGCCGGCCCG
rnacentral:lncRNA from 1 species